rnacentral:lncRNA from 1 species
CCUGGGAGCGCCAGGGGCUUCCCAGAAGGUCCCCAUGGUGUCCCCUACCUGGGACGUGGGUGGCCCAGAAGGUCCCCAUGGUGCCCUCCACCCAUGGUGUCCCUCCCCAGAGGGAGCAUCCCCCACCUCACCCCCCCACCCAGGGUUAAGGUGUCCCCAGAAGGUCCCCACAGCACCCACCACCCAUGACCAGGAUGUCCCAAGACCCAAGAGCACAGUGUCCCCUACUUGGGGCCAGGGGGUACCCAGAGGGUCCCCAUGGUGUCCCCUACCUGGGACAUGGGUGGCCCAGAAGGUCCCCAUGGUGCCCUCCACCCAUGGUGUCCCCCAGUGUCCCCUACACAAGGCCAAGGGGUACCCACAGGGUCUCCAUAUUGUCCCUCACCUGUGGCCAAAGUGUCCCAGAGGGUCUCCAUGGUGUCCCCUACCUGGGACAUGGGUGGUCCAGAAGGUCCCCAUGGUGCCCUCCACCCAUGGUGUCCCCCAGUGUCCUCUACCCAAGGCCAGGGGGUACCAAGAACAUCCCCAUGGUGUCCCUCACCUGGGACAUGGCCAUCCCCAGAGGAUCCCUAUGGUGUCCCUCACCUGGGAUAUGGCCAUCCCCAGAAGGUCUCCAUGGUGUCCCUCACCUGGGACACGGCCAUCCCCAGAGGGUCCCCAUGGUGUCCCUCACCUGGGACAUGGCCAUCCCCAGAGGAUCCCUAUGGUGUCCCUCACCUGGGAUAUGGCCAUCCCCAGAAGGUCUCCAUGGUGUCCCUCACCUGGGACACGGCCAUCCCCAGAGGGUCCCCAUGGUGUCCCUCACCUGGGGCCACCUUGUCCCCCGUGGUGCCCCCCUGAGACUGGCAUGUCCCCAUAGCGUCCCCCCCCCAGGACCAAGGUGUCCAUGGGGUGCACACAAGGUGGCCCCAAGCCCUGGGAGAAGAUGGGUCCCACCUUGUCCCCUGUGGGUCCUGGUGGUCCGAGGUGUGUGUGGGGGGGUGCAUCUCCCCAUUUUCUGGGACACGGCCAUCCCCAGAAGGUCCCCACGGUGUCCCUCACUUUGGACAUGACCAUCUCCAGAGGGUCCUCAUGGUGCCCCCAACCUGGGGCCACCUUGUCCCCCGUGGUGCCCCCCUGAGACUGGCAUGUCCCCAUAGCGUCCCCCCCCCAGGACCAAGGUGUCCAUGGGGUGCACACAAGGUGGCCCCAAGCCCUGGGAGAAGAUGGGUCCCACCUUGUCCCCUGUGGGUCCUGGUGGUCCGAGGUGUGUGUGUGGGGGUGCAUCUCCCCAUUUUCUUGCCUCACCUUCCAUCCCCCCCCCCCAGGAGGACCCCAACCCCCCCCAUCUCAGCAGGAACCCCCCCCU